rnacentral:tRNA from 1 species
AUAAUAAUGGCAGAAAAUUGCACUCGGCUUAGGACCUAAACAUGGAUCAAUCCUUCUUAUA